rnacentral:rRNA from 1 species
CUCCUUCGUUCAUAUCAUGCUAGUCGAGCGACGGACGAGAAGCUUGCUUCUCUGAUGUUAGCGGCGGACGGGUGAGUAACACGUGGAUAACCUACCUAUAAGACUGGGAUAACUUCGGGAAACCGGAGCUAAUACCGGAUAAUAUUUUGAACCGCAUGGUUCAAAAGUGAAAGACGGUCUUGCUGUCACUUAUAGAUGGAUCCGCGCUGCAUUAGCUAGUUGGUAAGGUAACGGCUUACCAAGGCAACGAUGCAUAGCCGACCUGAGAGGGUGAUCGGCCACACUGGAACUGAGACACGGUCCAGACUCCUACGGGAGGCAGCAGUAGGGAAUCUUCCGCAAUGGGCGAAAGCCUGACGGAGCAACGCCGCGUGAGUGAUGAAGGUCUUCGGAUCGUAAAACUCUGUUAUUAGGGAAGAACAUAUGUGUAAGUAACUGUGCACAUCUUGACGGUACCUAAUCAGAAAGCCACGGCUAACUACGUGCCAGCAGCCGCGGUAAUACGUAGGUGGCAAGCGUUAUCCGGAAUUAUUGGGCGUAAAGCGCGCGUAGGCGGUUUUUUAAGUCUGAUGUGAAAGCCCACGGCUCAACCGUGG